UUCCCUUACUCCUCUUCACUCACAGUCCUAAUCGAACCUCCCCAUAAUCGACCUCCUUCCUUCGCUUUGUUAUUUCAUCAGGCACCGAUGUCCUCCUUCAAUUUCUUACACUGUCUCAACCACAUCAUAGAACUUUAGCUGCCAUUUCAAAGUUUGCAAGAUUGAAUUCGCAUUACCUAUGUUUGAAAUUGAAAUUCACCAUACUUUCAGUCUCUAUUUUUUCGCACUUUUGUAGCUCGCACCGUCACCUUUCUCCUUCUCUCGCUCGCUCUUCUCCUUCUUUCCCUCUCCGACUCCCCUCUCGUUCGAAUCUUCU
rnacentral:lncRNA from 1 species